rnacentral:sRNA from 1 species
UCUCAGACAACUUGACCGCAGUUAACAUAUCUACAAGAACUCCCCCAAAUUACCAUUAGUCACAAACGAAAGGCUGAGUUAUAUUUGCAUCAUACCAUUCUACAACGUGUCACAAAAUGGUUCAGUUCUCCGAAGAGACUAAGGAACGUAUUUCCAAGGUCAUCGGCAUUUCCAGAGUGGCUAUUCAUUAUGGAUAUCUGCCUUUCAUCAUCUACCUUGGAUACACAUAUAGCGAGCCGCGGCCGCAACUCUUGAAGCUUUUCUCGCCCUUCGCAUGAACUCAACCAACUUUUAUGAGAUGACCUGGAUGCUGGCUGGUUUUUCGAGAGAGAAUGCUGCAGUUGAGCGUAUAAACCAUAACGGAAAGUCUUUUGCCUGUGGGAUGGACAAGGAGCAUUUGCUUCUGAAAUGACCUUAGCACGCAGAAUUCUGGUGCGACGCUUGCGCAGGUGGAGGGGUGCUAGGCACUAGAUGUUUCCUCUACUAUUUCUCUAACUAGAAUCUGGAGUUGGAAGCAUUUGUAUAUUAGUCGUCUUCUUUUCGCUUUGUUGUUCUUACUGUUUAUGGCAAUAUCAAAGGUUAUCGAAGGCUCCAAAGUCUGCUAGGCUGGAUUGCCAUCAACUAGAUCUAUUUCCCCUAUAUUGUGAAAGAUAAUUAAGGCUGAUUUCCCGAGAAGUUUGUAAAGUGUAUCUCGAUCUUUAUUACCUGGUCUAAAGUGUCCGUCCUUUCGUUUCAGAUAGAGUUGAUUCUAGAGCAAAUUUAUUGUAUUUCAAAAAACGGGCG